rnacentral:tRNA from 1 species
GGGGGAUUAGCUCAGCUGGGAGAGCGUUUGAAUGGCAUUCAAAAGGUCGUCGGUUCGAUCCCGAUAUCCUCCACCA